rnacentral:rRNA from 1 species
UAGGGAAUCUUCCACAAUGGACGCAAGUCUGAUGGAGCAACGCCGCGUGAGUGAAGAAGGUUUUCGGAUCGUAAAGCUCUGUUGUUGGGGAAGAAGGAUAGAGGCAGUAACUGGUCUUUAUUUGACGGUAAUCAACCAGAAAGUCACGGCUAACUACGUGCCAGCAGCCGCGGUAAUACGUAGGUGGCAAGCGUUGUCCGGAUUUAUUGGGCGUAAAGCGAGCGCAGUCGGAAUGAUAAGUAUGAUGUGAAAGCCCACGGCUCAACCGUGGAACUGCAUCGGAAACUGUCAUUCUUGAGUGCAGAAGAGGAGAGUGGAAAUCCAUGUGUAGCGGUGGAAUGCGUAGAUAUAUGGAAGAACACCAGUGGCGAAGGCGGCUCUCUGGUCUGCAACUGACGCUGAGGCUCGAAAGCAUGGGUAGCGAACAGG